GCGCUUGUAGCUCAGCGGAUAGAGCGCAGCCCUGCGGAGGCUGAGGCCGUGGGUUCGAAUCCCACCAAGCGCGCCA
rnacentral:tRNA from 1 species